rnacentral:piRNA from 1 species
CACCCGGUGCAGCAGUUGACUCUGGU